CAGGCUUAACACAUGCAAGUCGAGGGGCAUCAGGAAGAAAGCUUGCUUUCUUUGCUGGCGACCGGCGCACGGGUGAGUAACACGUAUCCAACCUGCCCUUUACUCGGGGAUAGCCUUUCGAAAGAAAGAUUAAUACCCGAUAGCAUAAUGAUUCCGCAUGGUUUCAUUAUUAAAGGAUUCCGGUAAAGGAUGGGGAUGCGUUCCAUUAGGUUGUUGGUGAGGUAACGGCCCACCAAGCCUUCGAUGGAUAGGGGUUCUGAGAGGAAGGUCCCCCACAUUGGAACUGAGACACGGUCCAAACUCCUACGGGAGGCAGCAGUGAGGAAUAUUGGUCAAUGGGCGCUAGCCUGAACCAGCCAAGUAGCGUGAAGGAUGAAGGCUCUAUGGGUCGUAAACUUCUUUUAUAUAAGAAUAAAGUGCAGUAUGUAUACUGUUUUGUAUGUAUUAUAUGAAUAAGGAUCGGCUAACUCAGUGCCAGCAGCCGCGGUAAUACGGAGGAUCCGAGCGUUAUCCGGAUUUAUUGGGUUUAAAGGGAGCGUAGGUGGACUGGUAAGUCAGUUGUGAAAGUUUGCGGCUCAACCGUAAAAUUGCAGUUGAUACUGUCAGUCUUGAGUACAGUAGAGGUGGGCGGAAUUCGUGGUGUAGCGGUGAAAUGCUUAGAUAUCACGAAGAACUCCGAUUGCGAAGGCAGCUCACUGGACUGCAACUGACACUGAUGCUCGAAAGUGUGGGUAUCAAACAGGAUUAGAUACCCUGGUAGUCCACACAGUAAACGAUGAAUACUCGCUGUUUGCGAUAUACAGUAAGCGGCCAAGCGAAAGCAUUAAGUAUUCCACCUGGGGAGUACGCCGGCAACGGUGAAACUCAAAGGAAUUGACGGGGGCCCGCACAAGCGGAGGAACAUGUGGUUUAAUUCGAUGAUACGCGAGGAACCUUACCCGGGCUUAAAUUGCAGUGGAAUGAUGUGGAAACAUGUCAGUGAGCAAUCACCGCUGUGAAGGUGCUGCAUGGUUGUCGUCAGCUCGUGCCGUGAGGUGUCGGCUUAAGUGCCAUAACGAGCGCAACCCUUAUCUUUAGUUACUAACAGGUUAUGCUGAGGACUCUGGAGAGACUGCCGUCGUAAGAUGUGAGGAAGGUGGGGAUGACGUCAAAUCAGCACGGCCCUUACGUCCGGGGCUACACACGUGUUACAAUGGGGGGUACAGAAGGCAGCUACCUGGCGACAGGAUGCUAAUCCCAAAAACCUCUCUCAGUUCGGAUCGAAGUCUGCAACCCGACUUCGUGAAGCUGGAUUCGCUAGUAAUCGCGCACCAGCCAUGGCGCGGUGAAUACGUUCCCGGGCCUUGUACACACCGCCCGUCAAGCCAUGAAAGCCGGGGGUACCUGAAGUACGUAACCGCAAGGAGCGUCCUAGGGUAAAACUGGUAAUUGGGGCUAAGUCAU
rnacentral:rRNA from 1 species